UACGUAGGGGGCAAGCGUUGUCCGGAAUUAUUGGGCGUAAAGCGCGCGCAGGCGGCUAUUUAAGUCUGGUGUUUAAACCUUGGGCUCAACCUGGGGUCGCACUGGAAACUGGGUGGCUUGAGUACAGAAGAGGAAAGUGGAAUUCCACGUGUAGCGGUGAAAUGCGUAGAGAUGUGGAGGAACACCAGUGGCGAAGGCGACUUUCUGGGCUGUAACUGACGCUGAGGCGCGAAAGCGUAGGGAGCAAACAGG
rnacentral:rRNA from 1 species